rnacentral:rRNA from 1 species
UCGAAGGAUUUUUGUCGUAGCUUGCUAUGAUAAAAAUUAGUGGCAGACGGGUGAGUAAUGCAUAGGAAUCUACCUAGUAGUAUGGGAUAGCCACUAGAAAUGGUGGGUAAUACUGUAUAAUCCCUGCGGGGGAAAGAUUUAUCGCUAUUAGAUGAGCCUAUGUUAGAUUAGCUAGUUGGUAGGGUAAAGGCCUACCAAGGCAGUGAUCUAUAGCUGGUCUGAGAGGAUGAUCAGCCACACUGGAACUGAGAUACGGUCCAGACUCCUACGGGAGGCAGCAGUGGGGAAUAUUGGACAAUGGGCGCAAGCCUGAUCCAGCUAUGCCGCGUGAGUGAGGAAGGCCUUAGGGUUGUAAAACUCUUUCAGUGGGGAAGAUAAUGACGGUACCCACAGAAGAAGUCCCGGCAAACUCC